rnacentral:rRNA from 1 species
GACGAGUGGCGAACGGGUGAGUAAUAUAUCGGAACGUACCCAAGAGUGGGGGAUAACGUAGCGAAAGUUACGCUAAUACCGCAUACGAUCUAUGGAUGAAAGCAGGGGACCUUCGGGCCUUGUGCUCCUGGAGCGGCCGAUAUCUGAUUAGCUAGUUGGUGAGGUAAAGGCUCACCAAGGCGACGAUCAGUAGCUGGUCUGAGAGGACAGACCAGCCACACUGGAACUGAGACACGGUCCAGACUCCUACGGGAGGCAGCAGUGGGGAAUUUUGGACAAUGGGCGCAAGCCUGAUCCAGCAAUGCCGCGUGAGUGAAGAAGGCCUUCGGGUUGUAAAGCUCUUUUGUCAGGGAAGAACGGGCUUGGAUAAUACCUGAGCCUAAUGC